rnacentral:rRNA from 1 species
CUCCCGUCGAAAGCCUAAGGAUUCCUGAGGAAGGCUCGUCCUCUCAGGGUAAGUCGGGACCUAAGCCCAGGCUGAAAAGCGUAAGCGAUGGACAACAGGUUGAGAUUCCUGUACUAUCUUUGAAUGUUUGAGAGAUGUACUGACGCAGGAGGAUAUGUUGAGCGUGUGAAUGGUAGAGCACGUCUAAGCAAGUAGGUAGAGAAUAGAGGUAAAUCCCUAUUCUUAAUAUCGAGAUGCGAUGGGGAGCGAAAAAUAAGUAGUGAAGCAACAGAUUCCAAACUGCCAAGAAAAGGUACUAUUGAGUGAGAAGAUACCCGUACCAAAACCGACACAGGUAGGCAAGGAGAGAAUCCUAAGACGCGCGGAAGAACCUUUGUUAAGGAACUCGGCAAAAUGACCCCGUAACUUCGGGAGAAGGGGUACCAUUAGAUGUGAGAUACUUGCGUAUGGAGCAUAGAGUGGUCGCAGAGAAUAGGCCCAAGCAACUGUUUACCAAAAACACAAGUCUCUGCUAAAUCGAAAGAUGAAGUAUAGGGGCUGACACCUGCCCGGUGCUGGAAGGUUAAGGGGAAAUGUUAGAGCAAUCGAAGCAUAGAACUUAAGCCCCAGUAAACGGCGGCCGUAACUAUAACGGGUAAGUUCCGACCCGCACGAAAGGUGUAAUGAUUUGGGCACUGUCUCAACAAAGGAUCCGGUGAAAUUGUAGUAGUCGUGAAGAUGCGACUUACCCACGAUAGGACGGAAAGACCCCGUGGAGCUUUACUGUAGGCUGGCAUUGGAAUUUGGUAUUAAAUGUACAGGAUAGGUGGGAGACUAAGAAGCGAGAGCGCCAGUUUUCGUGGAGUCAACGUUGGGAUACCACUC